UACGGAGGGUGCAAACGUUGCUCGGAAUCAUUGGGCGUAAAGCGCACGUAGGCGGCCCGGUAAGUCGGAUGUGAAAGCCCUCGGCUCAACUGAGGAAGUGCAUUCGAAACUGCUGGACUUGAGUACGGGAGAGGGAUGCGGAAUUCCCGGUGUAGAAGUGAAAUUCGUAGAUAUCGGGAGGAACACCAGUGGCAAAGGCGGCAUCCUGGACCGAUACUGACGCUGAGGUGCGAAAGCGUGGGGAGCAAACAGG
rnacentral:rRNA from 1 species